GUACCUGACUAAGAAGCCCCGGCUAACUACGUGCCAGCAGCCGCGGUAAUACGUAGGGGGCAAGCGUUAUCCGGAUUUACUGGGUGUAAAGGGAGCGUAGACGGCACGGCAAGCCAGAUGUGAAAGCCCGGGGCUCAACCCCGGGACUGCAUUUGGAACUGCUGAGCUAGAGUGUCGGAGAGGCAAGUGGAAUUCCUAGUGUAGCGGUGAAAUGCGUAGAUAUUAGGAGGAACACCAGUGGCGAAGGCGGCUUGCUGGACGAUGACUGACGUUGAGGCUCGAAAGCGUGGGGAGCAAACAGGAUUAGAUACCCUGGUAGUCCACGCCGUAAACGAUGACUGCUAGGUGUCGGGUGGCAAAGCCAUUCGGUGCCGCAGCUAACGCAAUAAGCAGUCCACCUGGGGA
rnacentral:rRNA from 1 species